UACGUAGGUCCCGAGCGUUGUCCGGAUUUAUUGGGCGUAAAGCGAGCGCAGGUGGUUUAUUAAGUCUGGUGUAAAAGGCAGUGGCUCAACCAUUGUAUGCAUUGGAAACUGGUAGACUUGAGUGCAGGAGAGGAGAGUGGAAUUCCAUGUAUAGCGGUGAAAUGCGUAGAUAUAUGGAGGAACACCGGUGGCGAAAGCGGCUCUCUGGCCUGUAACUGACACUGAGGCUCGAAAGUGUGGGGAGCAAACAGG
rnacentral:rRNA from 1 species